rnacentral:misc_RNA from 1 species
ACUCAAAAGACUUUUGCUGGAAAAAAUGGCUGGUGCUCUGUCUCCGGCCACCACUCUCCGCCUUAAGCCCUUCUACGCCGUCCGGUUCUUCAGUCAUUACCGAAGACCUAUCAAAGUCUUAAACCCCAAUUUCUACUCAUCGUACCCUCCACAGCUGCCUCCAGCACCCUACUUGAGCCGUCGACGGAGCUUUUGCUCUGUGGUUUCCGCCGCUAUUUCAUCCGGAGAAGCAGUUGAAAGACCCAAAUUUGAAAAUAUUGAGGCAAAAGAGGGGGUAAAAACUGAAAAAG